rnacentral:misc_RNA from 1 species
UUUUGCUGGGCUGACUGAUCUUGCCUGAACUUUGCGACCACUCCUGUGGUAUUAUGUACGCAGUUUGUACACAAUAUACGUAUCUUUUUAAUGCUCGCUACAUGUACUUUCAUUCUUAAAUGAAUUGAAAGCAGAAGUCAUUAGACAUCUUUCAUUUUCUUAGGUUAAGCAACAAGAACGGCCAUUGCAAUGGAGUUUUCAAAACUAAGGAACUUUAGGUAAACUUUAUGCCAAGCAUAUUUCCAAAGCAACAGUAUUUUUGUUAGUUGGUUCUUUGUUAUCUAUAUAUUUUAACAUUAAAAAUUCUCAAAAGUCACUGAAAAGUAGCUGUCACCAGAAAACAUAAUUUGUACAAUUGCAUCGUCUGAGAUAAAAAUUUGUUGGUUGUUGGCAUCUGCUGACUUUCAUCUUUUAAAUGAAUUUGUAUACACGUAUAAGGCUAUAAUAAAUAUUUGCCAUUUUC